rnacentral:tRNA from 1 species
GGGUCCGUAGCUCAGUUGGUUAGAGCACCGGCCUUUUAAGCCGGGUGUCGUGGGUUCGAGCCCCACCGGACUCACCA